ensembl:lncRNA
UAUGCCCUCAUCCUCUGGGCCUUUUUACAUCCCGUCCAACCUGGAAAGAUCCCUUCCCUGUGGCCCCAGUUCACACACAGACAAAUGGAGACAGACACUCUUUUACCCUACAGUUAGUGUGGGUCAUUUGUAUCUAACCUUAAUGUCACUUGCUUCGGGAAGCUUCCCAGACCUCCAGCUUCUUGGUCCCGAGUGUUGUGGCUGCUUCUACCUAGAGUUUACAGUGGUUGCUGGUCUCAAUGUAUGGUUGUACGAUGACAGUUUUUUAAAUUCUUUUUUUUUUGACACUGUGGCCUGGUUUAACAAUGUGACACUGGGCUCCUGUUCCUGGACCACCUGGAUUAGAGGGAGUGCUAUGCAGUGUUGGCAAGUGGCCAAUGGGCACUCUCUGGAUUCUAUUGGAACAGAGUGUCAAUUGCUUCCAUCUGCAUCUGCAUGACACUGGACCUGGGAAGUUUACUCCCUUUCCCUGAACUGCUUAUUAUGCCCUGUAAACCUGUACAGACACAUCGGUGACAGCUGCCCCAUCAUCCCAGAAGACUCUCUACCACCCCCACAUGGUAGCAGCUAGAUGCAUGGUCUACACAGAGAAUUCUUUUAGAAAUCGGAGCAUGAUCAUCUUGGGAAGCAGAGGUGUGUUUGUCAUUGUCUCUCUUGCAAGAGGUGCUGUUGCAUGUUUGGGCAGCUGAGAGCUUCACUGAGGAAGACACAGCAGGCAGUGAGUCUCCCUCAUAGCUGCUGACUGAGACUCUUGUGUGGACCCACAAGUCUGUGAGCUGCUGUCGGAUAUCCUGAUAUGGGGUCCAGCUCCUCGCAUCCCAGUGACUGCAGAGUGUUCCAGGUAGUCUGGCUCAGGACAGUGAAGCUGAAACUGCUGUCUGGUGUUGUGCCUGCUCCGAGGUCCAUGUGGCCGUUAGCUGAAUGUUCAUCCUGCCCAUCCCUGCCUGUGUUCCUGGAGUAGUCAGAGUCUGCUGGUUGUUUUUGGUUUUAUUUUGGUUUUGGUUUUGGUUUUGACCUGUCACCCCAUGCAAAGUGACCCUGCAGAGGUGAGAGGGAUGAGGCUCAAGUGGCCCAAGUCUUUGGGGGAACUUCCCCAUCUAUUGAUGUCCCUCUCAGCAGUGCUGGUUUACAUUAGCUGUGCGCUGUGGAAUGUGCUGGAAGAGAAGGUGGACACCCUGCACGACUCAGCUGGAUCUGCAGAGGGGUAACUUCCCUGACAAGUGGGGGUGCUCCAUUUGGAGCCCAUAGGGGAUCCAGAACUCCCCCAGACCACUGCAACUGUGUGGAAGCCAAUGCUGAGGUCCCCUGGGUUUCCUGGUGUGAGCCCAGAAUUGACACACCUCGUCUGACUUGCAGUGAUGCCUAGUUUGACUGUAUCUCCAAAUGACAAGCAUGAAAAGAUGGCUAUGUUCGACUCUCCCAUGGUUCCACAGGCUCAGUGAUGAUGGAAUGUCUCUCUGGUUUAGGGUCUGGGGUGAGACUUAAGUGAGAGUGGAGACUCUGGGAUUUAUACUCUCCAAUGUAUAUAAAUCCUGCCCUCUUCUGUCUGUACCUGUGUAAGCAUGCUGCAAGGUGCAGUGAGGGCCCAUGGCUUCCUCAUGAGACUCUCAAGCAGAGGGGAAGCCCCACCAGCCAGCAGAGCAAACAGGUGCUCUUGGAUCCACUUGUCAGAGUAGGGCGCCGACAGAAGGUCAGGAGUUGGUCUCCAGGAAAGAAAGCA